CCUACGGGAGGCAGCAGUGAGGAAUAUUGGUCAAUGGGAGAGAUCCUGAACCAGCCAAGCCGCGUGAGGGAAGACGGCCCUAUGGGUCGUAAACCUCUUUUGUCGGAGAACAAAACCCGGGACGUGUCCCGGACUGCGUGUAUCCGAAGAAACAGCAUCGGCUAACUCCGUGCCAGCAGCCGCGGUAAUACGGAGGAUGCGAGCGUUAUCCGGAUUUAUUGGGUUUAAAGGGUGCGUAGGCGGUCCGUUAAGUCAGCGGUAAAAGUGCGGGGCUCAACCCCGUCGAGCCGUUGAAACUGGCAGACUUGAGUUGGCGAGAAGUACGCGGAAUGCGCGGUGUAGCGGUGAAAUGCAUAGAUAUCGCGCAGAACUCCGAUUGCGAAGGCAGCGUACCGGCGCCAGACUGACGCUGAGGCACGAAAGCGUGGGGAUCGAACAGGAUUAGAUACCCUUGUAGUC
rnacentral:rRNA from 1 species